AAUGGCCUGUGGGAGUCACGAACAGAGCUGCGGAGUCUGAUAUUCCUGCGGAGGUUUCUGAUUCGUCUUGUUGUGAUUCCAAUGUUUCUGAAUUGGUGAAGGAAGUUAAACCUCGUUAUCACAUUGCAGGUUCGAUGGGGGUGUUCUAUGCCCGUGAACCUUACUUGAACGUUGAUUCUAGUCAUGUAACUCGCUUUCUUGGCCUUGCUCAAGUUGGAAACAAAAACAAACAGGUGUGUUCUUUGAUAGUUACUCUUGUCCUAAGAGCUUGGUACUUA